rnacentral:lncRNA from 1 species
AUCAUAUUCUCACUUCUAUAUACGUAUAAAUAAAUAUUACAUUUUCACACUUGUGAGUUCUCAAUGUGUAUAGCAUUUCUAUCUAUGAUACAACGUUCUUUUAGUAAUGAGUAUUGUAUAGAGGUUUAUAUACAUACAAACCUCUAUACAAUACUCAUCAUAUUCUCACUUCUAUAUACGUAUAAAUAAAUAUUACAUUUUCACACUUGUGAGUUCUCAAUGUGUAUAGCAUUUCUAUCUAUGAUACAACGUUCUUUUAGUAAUGAGUAUUGUAUAGAGGUUUAUAUACAUACAAUAAAUCAUGAUAUAUUAUACAGGUAUUCAUGGUAUAAUAUUUUCAUCUAUCUAUCGUACGUAUCUGCGGAGAUAGUUGACACGAGCCGGAUGCUUGAGCUUCAUGAG